GAAAAGCAAUAGAUAUGGAUCCAGUACGUUACAAAAGGUACCUCGUUGACGACGAAGCACCCGUUCCAGAAAGAACAAAGAGAAGACGUAAACGAAAGGACAUUUCUGAAGAUAUGGGUGAUGAUGAAGAAGCUGUGGCCUCUUCUUCUACAACUCAGUAUCUCACCCAAGAGGACAAUCAAGAUGACCCGGUGUCUACUGCUUCUGAUGACACAGUAAGUGGCUAAAAAU